UACGUAGGGGGCAAGCGUUGUCCGGAAUCAUUGGGCGUAAAGAGCUCGUAGGCGGUUUGUCGCGUCUGCUGUGAAAUCCCGAGGCUCAACCUCGGGCUUGCAGUGGGUACGGGCAGACUAGAGUGCGGUAGGGGGAGAUUGGAAUUCCUGGUGUAGCGGUGGAAUGCGCAGAUAUCAGGAGGAACACCGAUGGCGAAGGCAGAUCUCUGGGCCGUAACUGACGCUGAGGAGCGAAAGCGUGGGGAGCGAACAGG
rnacentral:rRNA from 1 species